GCUUUGAAGCUGGAACGCUAGUUCCAGUGGAGCCGUCCUUGAAAUACCACCCUGGUAAUGUUGAGGUUCUAACUCUGUCCCGUGAUCCGGGACGAGGACCGUGUCUGGUGGGUAGUUUGACUGGGGCGGUCUCCUCCUAAAGAGUAACGGAGGAGUACGAAGGUGCGCUCAGCGUGGUCGGAAAUCACGCGUAGAGUAUAAAGGCAAAAGCGCGCUUAACUGCGAGACCCACAAGUCGAGCAGGUACGAAAGUAGGUCUUAGUGAUCCGGUGGUUCUGUAUGGAAGGGCCAUCGCUCAACGGAUAAAAGGUACUCUGGGGAUAACAGGCUGAUACCGCCCAAGAGUUCAUAUCGACGGCGGUGUUUGGCACCUCGAUGUCGGCUCAUCUCAUCCUGGGGCUGAAGCAGGUCCCAAGGGUAUGGCUGUUCGCCAUUUAAAGAGGUACGCGAGCUGGGUUUAGAACGUCGUGAGACAGUUCGGUCCCUAUCUACCGUGGGCGCUGGAAAUUUGAGAGGAUCUGCUCCUAGUACGAGAGGACCAGAGUGGACGAACCUCUGGUGUACCGGUUGUGACGCCAGUCGCAUCGCCGGGUAGCUAUGUUCGGAAGGGAUAACCGCUGAAAGCAUCUAAGCGGGAAGCCUACCUCAAGAUAAGAUUUCCCUAGGACUUUAUGUCCUCUAAAGAGCCGUUCGAGACUAGGACGUUGAUAGGUUGGAUGUGGAAGCAUAGUGAUAUGUGAAGCUGACCAAUACUAAUUGCUCGUGAGGCUUGACUAU
rnacentral:rRNA from 1 species